AACGAACGCUGGCGGCAGGCUUAACACAUACAAGUCGAGCGCCCCGCAAGGGGAGCGGCAGACGGGUGAGUAACGCGCGGGAAUCUACCCAUCACUACGGAACAACUCCGGGAAACUGGAGCUAAUACCGUAUACGUCCUUCGGGAGAAAGAUUUAUCGGUGAGGGAUGAGCCCGCGUUGGAUUAGCUAGUUGGUGGGGUAAUGGCCCACCAAGGCGACGAUCCAUAGCUGGUCUGAGAGGAUGAUCAGCCACACUGGGACUGAGACACGGCCCAGACUCCUACGGGAGGCAGCAGUGGGGAAUAUUGGACAAUGGGCGCAAGCCUGAUCCAGCCAUGCCGCGUGAGUGAUGAAGGCCCUAGGGUUGUAAAGCUCUUUCACCGGUGAAGAUAAUGACGGUAACCGGAGAAGAAGCCCCGGCUAACUUCGUGCCAGCCGCCGCGGUAA
rnacentral:rRNA from 1 species